AGAGAAGCAGAGGGAGCAUAAGCCAAAUGCAUCUUGGCAAACACACACACACACAGAGGAGAAAUAUGCUUGUAAAUGCUUGUUUUAUAGCUAUAGUAAAUGCUUGGAUUUAUAGUAUAGUUUAUAGCACAACGUGUUAAGCAUAUGUUUUUUUUUAUCUCAACAUUUCUCUUCCUAGCAUCAUUUUUAUCCAAUACUAUGUGAUUCAAACCCAAUUAUAGCUUAGCUAUUUGUUUAAUUUAAGACAUAAAUGAUAGCUCUAGUUAAUAACACUGCAGUAUUGGCUACACUUCAAAACUGAAAUAAAAUCUACGUACACAGUAAUGUACACUAAAAUGACUACAAAUAAAUACACAUAGGAAUCACUUUGUUUUGGUAACACCAAAUAUAGAAAGCAGUCAAUUUAAAGUCAGCAAAUGCGGUUCGGAGUGCUGUAUGUAAUCACAUUACAGACAGAAGCAACACCCGGUUAAACCCAAAAGCAGAAGUGCAUCAUGUAAUUCCACCUUUCAUCCGCUAGAGGCAGUUUUGCUCCACUAAAUAAAAUCCACAGCUUAGAAAACCAUCCACUACCAGAGAGAACAAAGAAAGGGGAGACCGCAACCCUAAAACGCCGUUUAAACCAACGCUUGUUGUUUCCCCUCUCUUGUAUUUACAGGAAUUUGGAUCACACACCAUUCAGGUGAUGCUUCAGCCGAGCACUAUACAUUCAUGAAACACGUCUUUUGAGAAAUUAAGAAAAGGAAACCCUGUGAUGUCAUCAAACAGGAAGUGACAUCACUUUGGAGGGAAAACACCAGCUCCAUCUUCAUCUUUUGAGAAACUAAGAAAAGGCAACCCUGCGAUUUCACCAAACAGGAAGUGACAUCACUCUGGAGGGAAAACACCAUCCAUUUUCACUGUAAACUCGUGAGAUGUCAACAUAGAAACUGAAAAUGGCCAGUUUCUGUGGAUUUAUUUUGGAUUUGAAUAUUUACAUUUGCAUUUCAACUACAUCUGAUCCAGCUCAAAACAUCUUUAAACUCUGGUUACACCUAUAAUAUUAAGAGACUGUGGGAAAAGUCAUAAAAAUGAAGUCACCAAUAUUCUUCUGCUUCAAGACUUUCUUUGAUUUUUUAAAAUUAUUAUUAUUUAAGUCAGUUACCUCAAGUGGUGCAACACAGUCAUGCAGUGGUUAGCACUUUUGCAUCACAGCAAAAAGGUUGCUGGUUUGAG